UGGGGAAUUUUGGACAAUGGGCGCAAGCCUGAUCCAGCAAUGCCGCGUGCAGGAUGAAGGCCUUCGGGUUGUAAACUGCUUUUGUACGGAACGAAAAGGCUCUGGUUAAUACCUGGAGUUGAUGACGGUACCGUAAGAAUAAGCACCGGCUAACUACGUGCCAGCAGCCGCGGUAAUACGUAGGGUGCGAGCGUUAAUCGGAAUUACUGGGCGUAAAGCGUGCGCAGGCGGUAAUGCAAGACAGAUGUGAAAUCCCCGGGCUUAACCUGGGAACUGCAUUUGUGACUGCAUUGCUGGAGUGCGGCAGAGGGGGAUGGAAUUCCGCGUGUAGCAGUGAAAUGCGUAGAUAUGCGGAGGAACACCGAUGGCGAAGGCAAUCCCCUGGGCCUGCACUGACGCUCAUGCACGAAAGCGUGGGGAGCAAACAGGAUUA
rnacentral:rRNA from 1 species